rnacentral:rRNA from 1 species
AGAGUUUGAUCCUGGCUCAGGAUGAACGCUGGCUGUGUGCCUAAUACAUGCAUGUCGAGCGAAGUUCUUCGGAACUUAGCGGCGAAUGGGUGAGUAACACGUACUCAACGUACCCUUUAGAUUGGGAUAGCAAGUGGAAACAUUUGAUAAUACCAAAUACCUAUCAUUUUCGCAUGAAGAUGAUACAAAAGGUCCGUUUGGACCGCUAAAGGAUCGGGGUGCGCAACAUUAGCUAGUUGGUGAGGUAAAGGCCCACCAAGGCGAUGAUGUUUAGCGGGGUUGAGAGACUGAUCCGCCACACUGGGACUGAGAUACGGCCCAGACUCCUACGGGAGGCAGCAGUAGGGAAUAUUCCACAAUGAGCGAAAGCUUGAUGGAGCGACACAGCGUGCAGGAUGAAGGUCCUAUGGAUUGUAAACUGCUGUGGUAAGGGAAGAAAAAACAGUAUAGGAAAUGAUAUUGUUCUGACGGUACCUUAUUAGAAAGCAACGGCUAACUAUGUGCCAGCAGCCGCGGUAAUACAUAGGUUGCAAGCGUUAUCCGGAAUUAUUGGGCGUAAAGCGUCUGUAGGUUGUUUGUUAAGUCUGGCGUCAAAAUUUGGGGCUCAACCCCAAACCGCGUUGGAUACUGGCAAGCUAGAGUUAUGUAGAGGUAAGCGGAAUUCCUUGUGAAGCGGUGAAAUGCGUAGAUAUAAGGAAGAACACCAAUUUGGCGAAGGCAGCUUACUGGACAUAUACUGACACUGAGAGACGAAAGCGUGGGGAGCAAACAGGAUUAGAUACCCUGGUAGUCCACGCCCUAAACGAUGAUCAUUAGCUGAUGGGGAACUCAUCGGCGCAGCUAACGCAUUAAAUGAUCCGCCUGAGUAGUACGUUCGCAAGAAUAAAACUUAAAGGAAUUGACGGGGAUCCGCACAAGCGGUGGAGCAUGUGGUUUAAUUUGAAGAUACGCGUAGAACCUUACCCACUUUUGACAUCUUCCGCAAAGCUAUGGAGACAUAGUCGAGGUUAACGGAAUGACAGAUGGUGCAUGGUUGUCGUCAGCUCGUGUCGUGAGAUGUUCGGUUAAGUCCUGCAACGAGCGCAACCCUUAUCCUUAGUUACUAACAUUUAGUUGAGCACUCUAAGGAGACUGCCCGAGUAAUUGGGAGGAAGGUGGGGACGACGUCAAAUCAUCAUGCCUCUUACAAGUGGGGCAACACACGUGCUACAAUGGAAGGUACAAAGAGAAGCGAAAUGGCGACAUGGAGCAAACCUCAAAAAACCUUUCUCAGUUCGGAUUGUAGUCUGCAACUCGACUACAUGAAGUCGGAAUCGCUAGUAAUCGUAGAUCAGCUACGCUACGGUGAAUACGUUCUCGGGUCUUGUACACACCGCCCGUCAAACCAUGGGAGCUGGUAAUGCCCGAAGUCGGUUUAUUAACAAACUGCCUAAGGCAGGACUGGUGACUGGGGUUAAGUCGUAACAAGGUAUCCCUACGAGAACGUGGGGAUG